rnacentral:rRNA from 1 species
UACAGAGGUCUCAAGCGUUGUUCGGAUUCAUUGGGCGUAAAGGGCGCGUAGGCUGCGGGGUAAGUCGGGUGUGAAAUCUCAGAGCUCAACUCUGAAACUGCACUCGAUACUGCUUUGCUUGAGGACUGGAGAGGAGAUUGGAAUUCACGGUGUAGCAGUGAAAUGCGUAGAUAUCGUGAGGAAGACCAGUGGCGAAGUCGGAUCUCUGGACAGUUCCUGACGCUGAGGCGCGAAGGCCAGGGGAGCAAACGGG